AAAAGACAAUAAUUCAGUUCACUGAUUUAGAUUGAAUAGUGGUUCGGUUAAUUCUCCUUUUCCCCAAACAAGGCAAGAACAUUAAAGAUAAAGGGAAACUAUAAACAAAAGAAAUUAUCAACAAAAAUAGAUUUACAGACAUCAACAAAGCCUAAAUGGUCAGACAUCUUGGUUUUCAGGAUCAUCAUUCAACAGGUCAAUACUGAACAGAAAACUUAAAGUUGAUAUUUUUCUACAUAGUGUGACUUUUUUAUUAAUUUGAAAUGGAAUGUGUUUUUUUCCUACAUAAGAAAGAGGAAAUUUCAACAUAAUGACUAUAAACAAAAAGGAGUCAUAUUAUCAGGAUCAUAGAUGCACAAGAACUAAAUCAUGUAAAUGCAACAACGUAAUUAUCAAUUGAAAGAAGGGAGGAAUGAAAAAAUAUAUUAGUAUUUUGUUGUCCAAAUGAACUUGCUU